rnacentral:rRNA from 1 species
GACGGAGGAUGCAAGUGUUAUCCGGAAUCACUGGGCGUAAAGCGUCUGCAGGUGGUUUCCUAAGUCCACUGUUAAACCUUGAGGCUCAACCUCAAAUCUGCAUUGGAAACUAGGAGACUUGAGUAUAGUAGGGGUAGAGGGAAUUUCCAGUGGAGCGGUGAAAUGCGUAGAUAUUGGAAAGAACACCAAUGGCGAAAGCACUUUACUGGGCUAUGACUGACACUGAGAGACGAAAGCUAGGGUAGCAAAUGGG